GUACACAAAAAUGCACAUAUUGUGAGCUCGAUGAGUAGGGCGGGACACGUGGUAUCCUGUCUGAAUAUGGGGGGACCAUCCUCCAAGGCUAAAUACUCCUGACUGACCGAUAGUGAACCAGUACCGUGAGGGAAAGGCGAAAAGAACCCCGGCGAGGGGAGUGAAAAAGAACCUGAAACCGUGUACGUACAAGCAGUGGGAGCCUCUUUAUGGGGUGACUGCGUACCUUUUGUAUAAUGGGUCAGCGACUUAUAUUCUGUAGCAAGGUUAACCGAAUAGGGGAGCCGAAGGGAAACCGAGUCUUAACUGGGCGUUAAGUUGCAGGGUAUAGACCCGAAACCCGGUGAUCUAGCCAUGGGCAGGUUGAAGGUUGGGUAACACUAACUGGAGGACCGAACCGACUAAUGUUGAAAAAUUAGCGGAUGACUUGUGGCUGGGGGUGAAAGGCCAAUCAAACCGGGAGAUAGCUGGUUCUCCCCGAAAGCUAUUUAGGUAGCGCCUCGUGAAUUCAUCUCCGGGGGUAGAGCACUGUUUCGGCAAGGGGGUCAUCCCGACUUACCAACCCGAUGCAAACUGCGAAUACCGGAGAAUGUUAUCACGGGAGACACACGGCGGGUGCUAACGUCCGUCGUGAAGAGGGAAACAACCCAGACCGCCAGCUAAGGUCCCAAAGUCAUGGUUAAGUGGGAAACGAUGUGGGAAGGCCCAGACAGCCAGGAUGUUGGCUUAGAAGCAGCCAUCAUUUAAAGAAAGCGUAAUAGCUCACUGGUCGAGUCGGCCUGCGCGGAAGAUGUAACGGGGCUAAACCAUGCACCGAAGCUGCGGCAGCGACACUAUGUGUUGUUGGGUAGGGGAGCGUUCUGUAAGCCUGUGAAGGUGGCCUGUGAGGGUUGCUGGAGGUAUCAGAAGUGCGAAUGCUGACAUAAGUAACGAUAAAGCGGGUGAAAAGCCCGCUCGCCGGAAGACCAAGGGUUCCUGUCCAACGUUAAUCGGGGCAGGGUGAGUCGACCCCUAAGGCGAGGCCGAAAGGCGUAGUCGAUGGGAAACAGGUUAAUAUUCCUGUACUUGGUGUUACUGCGAAGGGGGGACGGAGAAGGCUAUGUUGGCCGGGCGACGGUUGUCCCGGUUUAAGCGUGUAGGCUGGUUUUCCAGGCAAAUCCGGAAAACCAAGGCUGAGGCGUGAUGACGAGGCACUACGGUGCUGAAGCGACAAAUGCCCUGCUUCCAGGAAAAGCCUCUAAGCAUCAGGUAACAUCAAAUCGUACCCCAAACCGACACAGGUGGUCAGGUAGAGAAUACCAAGGCGCUUGAGAGAACUCG
rnacentral:rRNA from 1 species